rnacentral:misc_RNA from 1 species
GAUGAAGAACGUAGCGAAAUGCGAUAAUUAAUGUGAAUUGCAGAAUUCCGUGAAUCAUCGAGUCUUUGAACGCACAUUGCGCCUCAUGGCAUUCCGUGAGGCAUGCCCAUCUCAGCGUUAGAAAAUAUUCUCAAAUUUUAGUUUUGUGCUAAAAUUUGGAUCAUGUCAAGGAAGCUAUUACUAUUAAUGUGAUCGCUCUUUGGAAAUUGAUAGGUCUUUGAGUUGCUACUCAUAGAACGUGAUGAAUCUUUCUUCGUUCUAUUGUAAUUCACUCUGGUAGUCCUAAAACUUGUAUGCCUGUGGCAUAUCUUGUAAUUUGACCUGAGAUUGGGUAGGGAUACCCGCUGAACUUAAGCAUAUCAAUAAGCGGAGGA